GCGGCGGGCCUGGUGGACACACGGCGCCCCGAGUGGGGCUCCCAGGCUGGAGCCGCGAGUGACCGCGGCUUCUCGGGGAUAGCCUGUCCACUCUCCAGCGCCGGCCGUGCUCGCUGCGGGAAGCGACGGGGAGGGUUUCCAGCCGGAGCCUUCUGCCGACGGAGGAGCAACGAGGUGGAGGCCAGGUGGUUUCUGUUUGACUGCAGUUGGGGUCUGGGUCCCAUUUUGUCCUGCUCUUCAAAGCUGAGGCUCUCAUCAGGAUUCCCUGAAUUAGACCCGUUUCCCAGUUUCUUGAAAAAAACCCUCGUGUUACGUUAGUUGUACCCUGGGUCUGCUCCUGAUGCAGUUGGUGGUACUUACCUGGCUCCUGUCCCACCACAAGCUGCAAUCUGACAUCUACCAAGACAGCAGACACUGACACCGUGCUAUCCCAGCCUUUCUAAACCAUUGCUGGUGCCUGGAUAUAUCGUAUUGCCAUUGCAACGUAUAGUUUUCCUAUGAUACUGCUGUCUCAAAACACUAGUCAUCUGUGGCUUUUCUCUUUUCCCCUCUUUCCACCAACACCAGGGUCCUGUUGGACUGGUUCUCCUGCAGCCACCCAGCAAGUGGCUCCUGGCCCUGGGAGACACUCCUGAGCAGACUUGCAAAGCUACUCCUUUCUCCUCUCUCAAAUUAACCUGACAAUUAAUUUUUUCUCUGCUGGCAGUGUAACCAUUGCAGCUGUAUGUUCUUCCAGCUUCCUGGUGGUGAUGGUUAAGCGUGGUUGGGUGUCUACUCAUUUUGUCCCAUUGCUCCUACUUUUUGACUUUGGUUUUGCUAAAACUCUUACGUGUUGAGUUAGCCCUUAAUGCAUUAAAGUGCUUGCAUGCAGUGCUGGGUAAGUGUAACCACUUGAAACCCUUGGCUCUGCUCGUGUUGUGCACUUAAGCAUAGUGCUUAACCAGAAGGCUGGUUUUCAAGCUGAGGUCAUGUCUCAACUCUACUGAGAGAGGUCAGCGUGCUUCUUGGUGCCGUAAGAUAAAUAAGUGAUAAUCAUACAGUGUCGCAGCAGUUUAGAAUAAUUGGUAACCACACGUGGCUUUAGCAUAAUUGUGAAUUUCCCGCUGUCCCCUGAUUUGGGGCCGUUACAUGAUUGGACUGUUAGUUUCUGUACGUGGUUUUAUUCCUAGCUAGCUGGAAGAAGUUUCCAUGUGAUACAGCAGAUUCAUUAAAGCCUGCCAGAAAUAACUCUUCUCUCUUGACAUCAGGAACUAAUCUUCUUGCUGUUUCGUGUUACUUUAAGUGCUGUAUAUUUCAAGAUGACACUGAAAUUAGACAACUGAUACAGGUCUUGGGAAAUUAUUUUCACUUUUAAAAUCCCCGUUGUUCUAUUCCUCUGUGGAGGAUCAUCUCUGCUUGAGGUACCUGACUUCUGUUCACACUGAUAAGAGUUAUGUGGCUGUGGCAGCAGUAUCAUACUGGAGAUCAUUUGAGAUCGUUCUGACUCAUGCUUUUUGAAUAUAUGAUGAUUUUAAGCACUACUGGAUUUGCUUAGCUCUUCUUCAGGUUUAACCGCCACAUCACAUUGCAGUCUGUGUGUACACAGAGGUGUCCGAGCUACGGUUUCUGGAGAUGAAUGAAAAUCAGUGGUGGGUAGGAAGUAGCAUAUUGUGUGUUUAUGGGCCAUACUUGCCCCUGUGGCUGGAGGCAGCAAAAGACCUAUACAAAAUCCAAGCUCCAUGGAGGUCCUAGCCCAAGAAGUCAGGUAGCGCUUGGCUGUUGCAGACUUUAUCGUUUGCCCUCACUGAACAUUGCCAGAAGCAGAUUGGGUAAAAAUACCUCAGUUCUGCUUUUUGAUUUGCGCAGCAAUUCCCUAACUUUGUAAGCCUAAGUCUACUGUCCUCCCUCCAAGUUUCUUUCCGGUCCCCAUGCACCUUUGUCAUCAAACACAAGGUUUGUUUCACAAACAAGUGAAAACAGAUAUAAAGGAGAGUUGCUGAUCUCUUAGCACAACUUUUGCAAAAUAGUGCUGCUCUGUGGAUCAUAGGCUGGGAAACAUCCCAUGGAGAAUAAGGCUGCUCAUCAACUAGCCUUUCAGUUUUCAGUAGAACUGGAGAUGAUGCUAAAAACUGGGACAUGCAUUGUAGAAAUCAUCUCAGUUCUAGUUGUUUGGUUUCCCUACUUAACUUGAGUUCCUUCAGGCUCCAUUUAUAAUUAAUGUACAGGAAUAACCAUGUCUGGAGGGCAAUUUUUCUCACCUAUCUUAGACAUCUUAUCUUAGGAUGAGGUGAAUCAUCCUUUGGUAUUCCUUGAUUCUCUCCAUUAGCUGUAAAGUCAGACUGGUACAGCUGUAGACAAUUUUUAACCACCUAAAUUACAUGAGACGAAUCAUUGUCCCAGUAUAGAAAAGCCCCUGUCCUGAAGAAAUCAGGUAUCGCACAGCUUACAUGAUACAUAAUUUGGUGCCUGUCAUGCAUUUCUGUAGCCCAGCCAACACGGCAAAUAUUCACAGGGACUGAUUGCUUCUAACUGCUGCUACUGGCCAUCAGGACUUGCCGAGAUACCUGUGUUCUGCAAGGGACAAUUAGUCUGCAGCAACAACAGUAGAGUGGUGAGCACAGUGAGAUUGGCACAAGGACAUCUUGGAAGAAUAAACUUUGCAGCAUCAAAAUUCUGGAACUGGCAUAGGUGAAGCUUGGUAGUAUUCCUCCUGUGCGCACCGGAGUAUCAGGAGGCAAAGAGUGUUUCUGGCAGUUUGGUAGCUGGGCAUGCCUUUAAGGAAAGUGCUAUGAUCAAGACUGAUGCCAACACUUAAGCCCAUGCCAACGCUGACAGCACCCAACUGAAGUUGCAAGAUACACAGCGGAAGACACAGAAUAAAAGCACAAAACGGUAAUGAAG